GCGCACGUGGUGAAAUUGGUAGACACGCCAGCUUGAGGGGCUGGUGCUCUCACGAGCGUGGAGGUUCGAAUCCUCUCGUGCGUA
rnacentral:tRNA from 1 species